UGAACGCUAGCGGCAGGCUUAACACAUGCAAGUCGAGGGGUAUAUUUCUUCGGAGAUAGAGACCGGCGCACGGGUGCGUAACGCGUAUGCAAUCUGCCUUUCACAGAGGGAUAGCCCAGAGAAAUUUGGAUUAAUACCUCAUAGUAUUAUAGGAUGGCAUCAUUUUAUAAUUAAAGUCACAACGGUGAAAGAUGAGCAUGCGUCCCAUUAGCUAGUUGGUAAGGUAACGGCUUACCAAGGCAACGAUGGGUAGGGGUCCUGAGAGGGAGAUCCCCCACACUGGUACUGAGACACGGACCAGACUCCUACGGGAGGCAGCAGUGAGGAAUAUUGGUCAAUGGGCGCAAGCCUGAACCAGCCAUGCCGCGUGCAGGAUGACGGUCCUAUGGAUUGUAAACUGCUUUUGUACGAGAAGAAACAUCCCGACGUGUCGGGACUUGACGGUAUCGUAAGAAUAAGGAUCGGCUAACUCCGUGCCAGCAGCCGCGGUAAUACGGAGGAUCCAAGCGUUAUCCGGAAUCAUUGGGUUUAAAGGGUCCGUAGGCGGUCUUGUAAGUCAGUGGUGAAAGCCCAUCGCUCAACGGUGGAACGGCCAUUGAUACUGCUGGACUUGAAUUAUUAGGAAGUAACUAGAAUAUGUAGUGUAGCGGUGAAAUGCUUAGAGAUUACAUGGAAUACCAAUUGCGAAGGCAGGUUACUACUAAUUGAUUGACGCUGAUGGACGAAAGCGUGGGGAGCGAACAGGAUUAGAUACCCUGGUAGUCCACGCCGUAAACGAUGGAUACUAGCUGUUGGGAGCAAUUUCAGUGGCUAAGCGAAAGUGAUAAGUAUCCCACCUGGGGAGUAC
rnacentral:rRNA from 1 species